GACGAACGCUGGCGGCGUGCUUAACACAUGCAAGUCGAACGUGAUUUUUGUGGAAAUUCUUUCGGGAAUGGAAAUGAAAUGAAAGUGGCGAACGGGUGAGUAACACGUGAGCAACCUACCUUACACAGGGGGAUAGCCGUUGGAAACGACGAUUAAUACCGCAUGAGACCACAGAAUCGCAUGAUAUAGGGGUCAAAGAUUUAUCGGUGUAAGAAGGGCUCGCGUCUGAUUAGCUAGUUGGAAGGGUAAAGGCCUACCAAGGCGACGAUCAGUAGCCGGUCUGAGAGGAUGAACGGCCACAUUGGAACUGAGACACGGUCCAAACUCCUACGGGAGGCAGCAGUGGGGAAUAUUGCACAAUGGGGGGAACCCUGAUGCGGCGACGCCGCGUGAGCGAAGAAGGUUUUCGAAUCGUAAAGCUCUGUCCUAUGAGAAGAUAAUGACGGUAUCAUAGGAGGAAGCCCCGGCUAAAUACGUG
rnacentral:rRNA from 1 species